rnacentral:rRNA from 1 species
CAGUCGAGCGGAACGAAGAGGAGCUUGCUCCUUUGGCGUCGAGCGGCGGACGGGUGAGUAAUGCUUGGGAAUGUGCCUUAUGGUGGGGGACAACAGUUGGAAACGACUGCUAAUACCGCAUAAUGUCUUCGGACCAAAGUGGGGGACCUUCGGGCCUCACGCCAUAAGAUCAGCCCAAGUGGGAUUAGCUAGUUGGUAAGGUAAUGGCUUACCAAGGCGACGAUCCCUAGCUGGUUUGAGAGGAUGAUCAGCCACACUGGGACUGAGACACGGCCCAGACUCCUACGGGAGGCAGCAGUGGGGAAUAUUGCACAAUGGGCGCAAGCCUGAUGCAGCCAUGCCGCGUGUGUGAAGAAGGCCUUCGGGUUGUAAAGCACUUUCAGUAAGGAGGAAAGGUUAAGUGUUAAUAGCACUUAGCUGUGACGUUACUUACAGAAGAAGCACCGGCUAACUCCGUGCCAGCAGC